UAUAAGUACGCGCUUAUUCAUUGCGUUCUGCGCUAAACGCCUGCAGUUAGACGGAUAUAGUGGAGAACAUGUUACUACAUUGCCUGCAAAGAGUAACAAGAUGCCUGGCAUUGCGGCGUCCAGGUGAAAGUCACCACCGUCUCCCCCUACGUUAGGUCACUGACCGUCUAUUUACCUUCGUGUAACAAAUGUGCCUCAAUUCUAUCCGUACGGCGUACCUCUAUUUGCCGAAGGGCCAAGCCGAUUUGCUGGAAAGUAGCGACGACAGCGGCAGCCUUGCACAGUAAAGGUAGAACCCGAACAAAACAAGACACGCAGAGCCCACGGGACCAUGAGCCUUGUGUUUCGACGGAAGCUGGGCGUCCUAACAGCUCAGCCGGUCCUACGUAAUCUCGCUUAUUUUCGCGCGCUGUCGGUUCUGCGCUUUUUUUGACAGGUUCUCUUUCGCAAGCAUCCAGACAGAUGGGGUCAAUCCCUCGCAUCAGACGCAAUGGCGGCUUGGGGAAGCGCCACCACUUGGCACUGCCUACGGCCGAAACUGUUCUAGGUAUGACCUGCAUCCCAGCACCUGUCAGCGAAAGCAGAGGUUCACUAAUACCCACCUAAACAUCGUGUGUCUGUCCAUGUAAGUUUUUUCCCUGUUGCGCAAAUGAAUGCCUCUCACCCACUCCUGGAAGAAGACCCGACUAAGGAACUGUCGCAGUGUGCACCGUAUGUAAAAUGCUGCUUCUGGAAGGUCGGCGGCCUCACCUGCGCAGACAAAAACAACUCAGCCUCCUUUUGUGGAUCAACAAGACGACUGUGCCCCAAACUACAAACCAUCUAUUUCAGUUCGGGAGGUGCACUGGAAGCGCGGGAGGUUUCUGCGAUGAAACAUGCGUAGACGGAGCGCUACGCGCGGCAGUGUAGGCCACUCCAUAAACACGAGUGACCCGUGCGAAUGUGCAUUCCUAUAGAUGCACAUCUACGUCUGCAUACUAUGUACUUGCCUCAUGAACGGUGUAUCAGACUCCCAUAGGCUUUCGUAGUACAUAUAACUGUGUCACAUGCUCAUGUCUCAUUACAGAGACCCGGUCCCUCGAUUGAGGGCAAUCGAGGCCUGUGGAGCAGAAAUCAGUCGUGCACGCUUCGGUAGGCCGCCAGUGCCUUUCUUGACUUAAGAAACGAGGACCACCUGGAAGCAAUGCGUGUUACAUCAUGCCAAAUCAUUUCUUUCUCCUCACAGCGCCUUUUCAUCUUCUCAGCUGCCUCAUAAAGAAUCCAACGCUGGGGCCGUACGCUCGCUUUCACAAACGACAAUGCUGCUACAGCAUGAUGCAGCGCUUCCUGGGGCCUGUAUUUGGAUGACAUCCAAGGCAACCGGAAAUGCUCACCACGUGCUUGAACGGCUGAGCGGACAUUUUGAAUGCCUCGACCAGUGCCCAUGGCGCCUGUGUGGAACGUAGUUUCCAAUCGACCGUGCAAUGAUUCCUGUUCGUCGGCCUACCCGUUAACAUUUUUGCUAACCUUCCAGGUAAUCAUUAUCUAUUGUGAAAGUGGUUCUUGAUGCCUACCUGAGGCUGCGGACUUGCGUAGUGAGCACAGACAGUGCGGUGGAAUGGAAGUCAUACUCGGAUGAAGCAACCACAGUAUCACCUGCGUCGUUAUUGUAUACAUUUUAACAAGAGCCCGGACCUCUUCACCAGCAAUGAGUGCGGUUUGCCUCUUGCAGCCAAGAUUUUGAGCACGUGC
rnacentral:lncRNA from 1 species